rnacentral:rRNA from 1 species
UACGAAGGGGGCUAGCGUUGUUCGGAAUUACUGGGCGUAAAGCGCGCGUAGGCGGUGAUCUUUGUCAGAGGUGAAAUCCCGAGGCCCAACUUCGGAAUUGCCUUUGAAACGGGAUCGCUUGAGUCCGAGAGAGGAUGGCGGAAUUCCUAGUGUAGAGGUGAAAUUCGUAGAUAUUAGGAAGAACACCGGUGGCGAAGGCGGCCAUCUGGCUCGGUACUGACGCUCAGGCGCGAAAGCGUGGGGAGCAAACAGG